rnacentral:tRNA from 1 species
GGCGACGUGGCCAAGUGGUUAAGGCAAGGGUCUGCAAAACCCUGACCAUGGGUUCAAUUCCCAUCGUCGCCU